rnacentral:rRNA from 1 species
AACGAACGCUGGCGGCAUGCCUAACACAUGCAGGUCGAACGAGAUCUUCGGGUCUAGUGGCGCACGGGUGCGUAACGCGUGGGAAUCUGCCCUUUGGUUCGGAAUAACAGUUGGAAACGACUGCUAAUACCGGAUGAUGACGAAAGUCCAAAGAUUUAUCGCCAGAGGAUGAGCCCGCGUAGGAUUAGCUAGUUGGUGUGGUAAAGGCGCACCAAGGCGACGAUCCUUAGCUGGUCUGAGAGGAUGAUCAGCCACACUGGGACUGAGACACGGCCCAGACUCCUACGGGAGGCAGCAGUGGGGAAUAUUGGACAAUGGGCGAAAGCCUGAUCCAGCAAUGCCGCGUGAGUGAUGAAGGCCUUAGGGUUGUAAAGCCCUUUUACCCGGGAUGAUAAUGACAGUACCGGGAGAAUAAGCUCCGGCUAACUCCGUGCCAGCCGCCGCUGUAA